CAGUAGCCGCGGUAGUACGUAGGGUGCGAGCGUUAAUCGGAAUUACUGGGCGUAAAGCGUGCGCAGGCGGUUUUGUAAGACAGGCGUGAAAUCCCCGGGCUCAACCUGGGAAUGGCGCUUGUGACUGCAAAGCUAGAGUGCGGCAGAGGGGGAUGGAAUUCCGCGUGUAGCAGUGAAAUGCGUAGAUAUGCGGAGAAACACCGAUGGCGAAGGCAAUCCCCUGGGCCUGCACUGACGCUCAUGCACGAAAGCGUGGGGAGCAAACAGGAUUAGAUACCCCCGUAGUCCCUGUCUCUUAUAC
rnacentral:rRNA from 1 species